rnacentral:tRNA from 1 species
GGGAUAUAUUUCAGUGAUAGAACACUUGCCUUGAAUGCACAAGGCCCUGGGUUUGAUCCCCAGUACCCA